AAUUAAAAAUAUGUAAAUAGUAAUGUUAAAAAGAGUCAUAUCUUAAUUAUAUCUAAAAAAAUAUUUUAACUGUGUUUAUUAAUCUUUAAUUUUGAACCAUUUAUUUUUAAUAAAUAAUUGAAAAAUUGGAGUUGAUUUUUUUAAUUAUUCCAAAUACUUUUUUGAAGAUAAAGUAUAUCUUUUGUUAUAAUAUUAUGAGAUUGUAAUAUUAUAUAGAAGAUUAACAUACCGAUGAUUGGUGUGAAGCAGCCGUAUGAAAAGAGGAAUCUGACGAUCUUUGAGUUAUACGAUCUACUUGAUUUUCAGAUUGAUCCUGAAAUCAAAUGAAAAAAAUAUAAAUAUAAUAGUUUUAAUUCUUAUUCUUGGUAUUUUAAAAUAACAUAUGACCAAAAUAAUCUUCUAGACUAACAAAUUAAGAAGAGUUAGUACUGACAUGUAAUCUUCAUAGAAUUUAGGAUUUUUUUAAAAAAUUAAAUUUUCCUUACAUCUAUCUCUUAAUCUAUUUAAUAUAUAAAGGUCAAGCAGUUCAACAAAAGAAAAGAAACUUAAUUUUUUUCUUCAUCUAACCACCUCCACCACCCCCACAUCCUCUGAUCCUUCUCUUCCUCCUCAUUUUUCUCUUCAUGUCACCAACUGAAAAUUGUGUUUCAAGUCAUCAGGAUCAGCUGGGCAGUCCCUUCAUCAAAAUAGAGCUGGAAGUUGCAAAUGUCUUCGUCUAUGGCAGCAAGGGAAAGCCGUGUGUCGAAGGAGAAAGAACUGAGCGAACCCAGAUGAAGAAGAAGGUUUAGCAGCAGAGACUAUGAGCACAAGGUGAAGAGAGCAGCGGAGGGUAUCCCAGCAACCAGUAGGGUUGAGAUUGUAGCUGAAGAUUUGAAGUUUAUCUUAAAAGUCAGACUAAAUGGGAAGGGAGAUUUCGGAAGUCCAGAGAAGUAGGGGCGACCCAGAGAUGGAGGAAGCACGAUGGGGAAGAACAAGGAUAUUCAAGAACGUGCCACCGCAGCAAUAAACAGAUGAUUGGAGAAGUGGCUAUCGGAAAACUGGAACGGCGUUGGAAUCUGCUGCACGUCACGCCCUUGAAAGCAUGAAAAGAUUCUUGCAUACUUCUUCUUCUUCCUCCAAAUGCAUACUGUUUCUACUGUUAGCUAUUUAUUCCAAAGUGGGAUUAACACUAUUGAGCUUCAGGUUUCAAUAUUUGAGUUCUUUUCUUUUGCUGACUUUUUCAAGUAUUCAUUUCUUUUUGUUUUGUUUUUGUUUUGCAGUUUAGGGUUUCAGACAUACUCAAACGAGUUGCAAGUUAAAGUGUUGUCGGAAAUGGUUCUAUAAUUCACGGGUAAGCAUAGGAUUCUUGCAGAACUCAAGCGCCUCGAUCAUUACAUCAAAUUCCUUCAGGUUAUUUCUUUCUUUCUUAUAAUUUUGAUUUGCUUACUAGGAAAGUGGAUCUAAUUUUGUUGCAAGCAAACUUCUUUGUAAAUUCUAAAGUCUGUUAUCCGUUUUAUUAAUAUCCAUUUUUCUUUUAAAUUUAUUUCCUGUGUUUUCUUAAACUAUUCAGGAAAAAUUGGAAGAGCAAAUCAAAGCAGAUAAUGUGUCAGUCAUUUUAUUAAUAUCUCUGCCUCCUUUUUUUUUUCCUGACCAUUUUCCUUAUCUUCCCUUAGGAGGAACAAGGUGUAGAACAUCUCUUCAAACACUUACUGGAUUUUCCAGAUAAUACGUCACAGCAUUUUGAUAUUGUAUGCAUUCUUUUUUGAUUUCCUAUCAUACCUAUUAUUCAUUUGUUUCAUUGUUUGUUUUAAGUCAUUCAUGUUUGAUAAAGAUAUGUUUCCAAUGAAAAUUGUGAAUCAAAUAUGUAUCUAUUUAGAAUCACCCUUUUUAGUGUUUUGACAAACCCCAAUUCAAUUUCUAAUUGGUUUGGCUGAGCUGAUUACUGCUUCACAUACUUGAAUUUUAUAUGUUCUAUAUUGCUCUGUGAUACAUUCCAUUAUCACAUAUAAAAAGUUCUCAUCUUUUCGUCAGGUUUGUCUAUUUAUUUAUUUAUUUAAUUCUAUGAUUUUGGUGACUUUGUUUUAACUGAUAUUGUGUAUGCUCUGUUUUCAGGUCCUUUAUUUAUUUAUUUAUUUAUUUAAUUUUGUUCAUUGCAAGAGGUCCGUUAACUUUUUCAAACCUCUCUAUUUAGGAGGAUAGGUAGGAACAUGGUAACUAACUUCAUCCAUUCUAAUAAAUCUCUUUCAUCAAAUCUACAAUUGUCCUUUGUUUAUAUAUUUGGUCAUUUAUUUGUGUUUUGACUUCUAAAAGAUGAAGUUGGAGGAUAACCUUUGUACAAAGUUGACAGUAAACUGGGUGAAGGUUAUGGUUACAUCCUAACCUUUAGAUAAGCAUACAUUGGUGAGAAUUGUGAGAACUGAGCUCAACGUCUUCCCCUCAGCUGGAGGUUCUAUACUUACCCUUAGAAAUGAAAAUUUAUACUGGAGGUGCAUCUUUGAUUGGUUCAUUUGUCAAUUCAAACAUUCUUGCUGCAUUUUCUGUUCCUACUGGGAAGAAAUCAUGCAAUAUUUUGAUUUACAAGAGUCUGAUUCUGAAUGUGAUUGCUUGAACUGGUGGCUUGCUUUUUGGCUAUGAUACACAGGUAUUUAUUUCAUUUCAUUUUGGAUUUCAUAUACACGAUUAGAAAAAUCAUUAUUCCUUCUUUAAGUCGUGUUUAUUAUGCCACAUCUGCCCCUAAUGAUUGUUUCUGCUUCUUUAAUUUAUCUUAGUUUUGGAGUUUGCAAAUUAAACAAACAAAGAAUAAUGAUUUCCAUCCGCGUGUGCAGGGUAAUAGUAAAAAAAACAGAAACAGGGAAUGAAUGUGCUCUCAUGGAAAUGUUAAGUUUAAGAAUAAUCAUUUCCCUACUCCUUUGUUCUACCAAAAGUAUCUCUUUUCUAAUUAUUUUCACUUUCUUUUUCAUAGUUUGCUAUAUCAUACGAAUAAUUUUUGCAUAGGAAAGUGCUGGGCUUCAUUUCUAAGUGUUUGAUACCCACUAGCAUCUUUGAAUAUAAGAUGAUUCAGGGCGAAGAAUUGGAGAAGCUAAUAAUAAGGAGCUUGGAAUGGCUGAUGAAUUGGAAUAGGAGCAGGUGGUUGUUGUUGAUUUAGGCGUUGGAAAAGAUCAGAGAUGAAAAAACAUAUCCAAAACUCAUAGGUUCUACCAACUAUAUAGGUUAGUUUUAUUAAGUUUCAGAAUUCAGUAUAAAUUUUCUUAUCAGUCAAGGAGUCAAGGAGAGUGGGACAACUAAUUGAAGUUUCAAGCGACUACAAAUCCUAUUUAUAGAUGAACCUCUUUAUUGUUUGAACAUGUUUUCUUUUUCUUUUUUAACUCUUUAAUUGUAAUAUCAUAAGUUGAUUGGAGCUGAGACUGAGAUAUAAAAUCUCUUUCCAUCAUAUUGUAGGACUUUCAUUGUAUUCUAAUUCUAUGAUGUCAAAACUUGUGAUGUCAAAACUAGGAAGCAAUAAUAAGUGAUAAUGUUUUACUUUGCUAGA